rnacentral:rRNA from 1 species
AUUGAACGCUGGCGGCAGGCUUAACACAUGCAAGUCGAACGCGUGGCAGCCGUGUGAGUCAUGCUUGUGAAUCUCGCUUAUUGAGGGGGAUAACUACGGGAACCUGUCGCUAAUACCGCAUACCCUACGAUUCUCCCACGUGGGAGUCGGUAGUUGGUGAGGGAAAGGCUCACCAAGCCGACGAUCUCUAGCUGGUCUGAGAGGAUGACAAGCAAAAAUGGGACUGAGACACGGCCCAGAAUCCGACGGUAGGCAGCAGUGGGGAAUAUGGCGCAAUGGGGGCAACCCUGAUGCAGACAUGCCGCGGGUAUGAAGAAGGCCUUAGGGUUGUAAAGUACUUUUAGCGGGGAGGCGUUACCUACAGAAGAAGCACCGGCUAACUCCGUGCCAGCAGCCGCGGUAAUUC